UUAAGCUAAAGCACAGUAGAUUCUAGUUAAAUCCCAGGGGUCACUGCAGCCACGACAACCUCGUCUCACAUUAUCUCCAUCGUAAUCCUACACUGUUCACUCACUCAUCAAAUGCAAGCUGCAGCAAUAGUAGCCAUGGUAGUCCACGCUAUUCUCACUAUAAUCCCAUCUCACCACACUCUCCUUCAUGCACUGUCGUCACCUAACCCCUCGUCCAUCCCUUUCCAAUGCUGCUACUGUCCCCAAGAAGCAGUUUUCCGUGCUUGCUGUAUCCAAGAAUGCUGUCGCGGUUCUUAAAGGUGAUUCUAAAGUUGAAGGCGUUGUCACCUUGACUCAAGAAGAUGAUGGUCCAACAACUGUGAAUGUUCGCGUUACUGGUCUUACUCCAGGGCUUCACGGGUUCCACCUUCAUGAGUAUAGUGACACAACAAAUGGAUGCAUGUCAACGGGAGCACAUUUCAAUCCUAACCGUAUGACACAUGGUGCUCCUGAGAGCGAAGUCCGCCAUGCGGGUGACCUGGGAAACAUAGUUGCUAAUGCUGAUGGAGUGGCAGAGGCAACAAUCGUGGACAAGCAGAUACCACUAAGUGGCCCAAAUGCUGUCAUUGGAAGAGCAUUUGUAGUUCAUGAGCUUGAGGAUGACCUUGGAAAGGGUGGACAUGAACUUAGUCUAACGACAGGCAAUGCAGGUGGAAGAUUGGCAUGUGGUGUCGUGGGUUUGACACCAAUAUAAAGAAACCAGCUUGGUCUUCCGCCAUUGUUGUUUGCUUUUCCUACACAUUAGUUACUCAUUGAAUCCAGUAAUUUGGCUUUAAAACCAACAAAUUUGAAUUUAAUUAUGAAUAGAAAAUUGAUUUUAGAUAUUCUAUUAUUUUUAAAUAA